UACGUAGGGGGCUAGCGUUGUCCGGAAUCAUUGGGCGUAAAGCGCGCGUAGGCGGCCCGGUAAGUCCGCUCUGAAAGUCCAGGGCUCAACCCUGGAAAGCGGGUGGAUACUGCCGGGCUAGAAUCCGGAAGAGGCGAGUGGAACUCCUGGUGUAGCGGGUGGAAUGCGCAGAUAUCAGGAAGAACACCAAUAGCGAAGGCAGCUCGCUGGGACGGUAUUGACGCUAAGGCGCGAAAGCGUGGGGAGCGAACAGG
rnacentral:rRNA from 1 species